rnacentral:rRNA from 1 species
GAGGACCGAUAAGGGGGUGCUUACACAUGCAAGUCGAACGGUCUUUCUUAGGAAAGAUAGUGGCGGACGGGUGAGUCAACACGUAGUUGACCUGCCCCCUUGUGGGGAAUAACUCCUCCAAAGAGGAGCUAAUACCGCAUAAGUUCUUCUAUACAGGUAGAAGAGGAAAGAACCCUGUGAAAGUAGGGGGCGCCAGGGGAGGGGACUGCGGCGGAUUAGCUAGAUGGUGGGGUAAAGGCCCACCAUGGCG